ensembl:lncRNA
GUAGAAAUUACUGAUUAUAUUCUAUGGUAAACUGUGAUUAUUAUGAGGUCUUUUAUAUCUAAUAGUGGAAAACACACGGUGCCUAGGUGUCUGGGUUUAGAACAGAUGGAGCCCCCCCUAAAAGGAGCAGGGCUAUCUUUGCAGACCAUUUGUUGUCUAUUUUCUGUCCAUUCAGGUUAAAGUGGAUUUAUGACUGAAUGGAGGCAGACACCUCAAGGAGAAGCUGCUCUGUUUGUGUGUAUAAAAAGACGCCGCAGUUUGUGAACGACAGUGACUCUGCAAACCCACUCAGGCUGUUGUCGUUGUUGUUUUUCUUCACGAUAAAGUCUUUUUCAAUUCUUGCUCCGGACCCCUCGAUUUCUUUUACUCUCUCUCUUAAAUUAGUCUAAGUGUUUUAAAUCUCGAUUAAUCUCCGACAUAAUUGGCGUCACGACCAGGAGGAAAUAGGGACUCGUCAGCUGCCGGGCCAGAGGACGGGACGCGAACGGAUCAUACGACCAGAGCUCAAGGAAAAAAACGUUAACCACCACUGAGAUGGGUGAUUCUGUGGUUCUUGGAGACUCUCCAACGCAUCGGAACACCAUAUGGUAUAUAUCAUUACAUCUUGAUACACGGAGCACUGGUGAGACAACAGGUUGGAUCAGAGGGAGAAGGUGUCUGAAGAAGGGAGAGGAAUGUAAAGAAAGCAAAAAGGGCGGACGCGGACCGACACAGAGAUGGGUAGAAGCAGUCCCAUCAGAAGACCAAAGUGCGGCUACGGUAAUCAAGGCUCUGACGAGAGAAGUCAUGGCAAGGUUUGGAAUUCCGUCACAAAUUAGCUCAGGCGACAGAGCAGCGUUUGUUCAGAAAACACUCAGACAGGUGAUUUAACAUCUGCAUGUCAAAUAAAGACUAGUCCGUGUCUACAUUCCUCAAACCACAAGGUAUGGUGGAGAGAGGAAUGGGACGCUUAAGACAAAGAUUAACAAAAUUAAAUUAGAGUACUAAAUUGGAGGACUAAUGCACUACGACUGACACUAAUGAGUUAUUGCAUGAAAACUAACAGAACGACGCAUCUAACCCCGCAUGAAAUGCUUACGGGUCGACCCAUGCCUUCACCUGUCAUUCGAGGGCCUCAUAAAGGACCUCCAUUAGAACAAUUGGAAACUGAAUUAAGACGUUAUAUGGGACAACUAACUGGCAUACACAGGCUUAUUUUUCAACAAGAGAAAGACAGAGUUCCAGAGUUGGAG